rnacentral:tRNA from 1 species
GACUCCGUAGCUCAGCGGGAGAGCACUUGCUUGACAGGCAAGGGGUCGGUGGUUCGAUCCCACUCGGAGUCA